rnacentral:rRNA from 1 species
GACGAACGCUGGCGGCGUGCCUAAUACAUGCAAGUUGAGCGAUGAAGAUUGGUGCUUGCACCCAUUUGAAGAGCAGCGAACGGGUGAGUAACGCGUGGGGAAUCUGCCUUUGAGCGGGGGACAACAUUUGGAAACGAAUGCUAAUACCGCAUAACAACUUUAAACAUAAGUUUUAAGUUUGAAAGAUGCAAUUGCAUCACUCAAAGAUGAUCCCGCGUUGUAUUAGCUAGUUGGUGAGGUAAAGGCUCACCAAGGCGAUGAUACAUAGCCGACCUGAGAGGGUGAUCGGCCACAUUGGGACUGGGACACGGCCCAAACUCCUACGGGAGGCAGCAGUAGGGAAUCUUCGGCAAUGGACGAAAGUCUGACCGAGCAACGCCGCGUGAGUGAAGAAGGUUUUCGGAUCGUAAAACUCUGUUGGUAGAGAAGAACGUUGGUGAGAGUGGAAAGCUCAUCAAGUGACGGUAACUACCCAGAAAGGGACGGCUAACUACGUG